rnacentral:rRNA from 1 species
UACGUAGGGGGCGAGCGUUGUCCGGAAUUACUGGGCGUAAAGCGCGCGCAGGCGGCCUAUUAAGUCAGGUGUUAAAAUGCGGAGCUUAACUCCGUAUCGCACUUGAAACUGGUAGGCUUGAGUGCAGGAGAGGGAAGUGGAAUUCCCAGUGUAGCGGUGAAAUGCGUAGAUAUUGGGAGGAACACCAGUGGCGAAGGCGACUUCCUGGACUGUAACUGACGCUCAGGCGCGAAAGCUAGGGGAGCAAACA